CCCAGACUCCUACGGGAGGCAGCAGUAGGGAAUCUUUCACAAUGGGCGAAAGCCUGAUGGAGCAACGCCGCGUGCAGGAUGAAGGCCUUCGGGUUGUAAACUGCUUUUAUAAGCGAGAAAUAUGAUGGUAACUUAUGAAUAAGGAUCGGCUAACUACGUGCCAGCAGCCGCGGUAAUACGUAGGGGGCGAGCGUUAUCCGGAUUUACUGGGUGUAAAGGGAGCGUAGACGGCGGCGCAAGUCUGAAGUGAAAGCCCGUGGCUCAACCGCGGAACCGCUUUGGAAACUGCGAGGCUGGAGUGCUGGAGAGGUAAGCGGAGUUCCUGGUGUAGCGGUGAAACGCGUAGAUAUCAGGAGGAACACCGGUGGCGAAGGCGGCUUACUGGACAGUGACUGACGUUGAGGCUCGAAAGCGUGGGGAGCGAACAGGAUUAGAUACCCGGGUAGG
rnacentral:rRNA from 1 species